CUGAGGUCACGUGACCUAGCAUCAGCUAAUGCUUACCACAUUAAAGGGGAAGAUGGUAAGUUAUAAAUGACUGCUGUUUGAUCCAUACCCAUCAGGAACAUAUCUAGAAAACUGUGGGAUAUCUCCAGGGUACAGAAGACCCCACAUCGACUCACUACAUGUGCCUGGAGAAAUUCCGGAGGCCAGGAGCCAGGCAUGUCUUCUCAUCAUGAACCAGCAGAGCUUGGACAGACAUCAUGCAUGUGAUGAACAAGUGACAGAAUGCCCCUUUUGACAAUGCCCCAUUGUCUCCAGUUGGUCCUCACAAGAAAAGUAUCAAAUGCUCUUA